rnacentral:rRNA from 1 species
CCUACGGGAGGCAGCAGUGAGGAAUAUUGGUCAAUGGGCGCGAGCCUGAACCAGCCAAGUCGCGUGAGGGAAGACGGUCCUAUGGAUUGUAAACCUCUUUUGUCGGGGAGCAAAAGACGCCACGCGUGGCGUUCCGAGAGUACCCGAAGAAAAAGCAUCGGCUAACUCCGUGCCAGCAGCCGCGGUAAUACGGAGGAUGCGAGCGUUAUCCGGAUUUAUUGGGUUUAAAGGGUGCGUAGGCGGAAGGUUAAGUCAGUGGUCAAAUGUCGGUGCUCAACACCGGCCUGCCGUUGAAACGGGUUGUUGUGAGAGGGCGAGAGGUAUGGGGAAGGGGUGGGGGAGCGGGGAAA